rnacentral:lncRNA from 1 species
CACUUCGGCACUUUGGUUGCUGGAUCAAAUAUUUUGUGUGAUCUUCAUUAGAGUAUGAAUACAGUGGGGUGCUGAAAUACUUCAAAUAAUUUGUCCUUGGGGUCUCCUUCUCUUGAUCUCUGUUUUUGUUUUAAAAAUUGUUGUCAUGUGGUGGAAUGGUUUAUGAAGUUUCAGCAGUGUCACCCAGCAGUGCAGAGAUUAGUCCCAAGUCCCCCACAGGAUGAGGAGUCACAGGUGUGUGUUAUGUGUGGCUGGCACUCCUCUGAAUCUGCCAGCAUGUCUGUCAUUUGUCCCAGGGCCAGUGGAGAGUAAGGAUGGCUCAUUUAGUGUAUUGAUGGCAGGGCAACUGGAGAUUUUCCCUCAUUCAGAACAUGAUUUUCCUUCUUGUACAGCUCACAAGUCUAUCAGAGCGAUUUCAUUUUGUGGUUUCUCUCAUAGCUUCCAAUUUGUUACACCUGGAAACAUUUUGGUCCUGCUGGUUUUGGUGGGAAGAAUCACAAAAGUAUUCCAAGGGAAGCUACAAACAUCUCUCUAUUUACACCUCUGACCUGGUAGAUGAUCUUGUCCUUUCUCCUCUUCCUCCUCCUGCCACCUUUUCACAUGCACUCAUGUUCUCUUGGGGUGUUUCCUCUCCCCAGCAUUCCCAGGGAUGCCUGACAUGCGGGAAGUGCCCACCUGGGGGUGGUUUGUGUCCGAGGCAUUUGCUCUCCGAGGUGUGUCCUGGCAGGUGGAGCUCCUUCUCCAGAGGCAGCACCAGUAACACAUGAUACUUUUGAUGAGUUGUACCACCUAAGCAGUGAAAUGGAAUAGAAAGAAGAAUAAUGGUAAUCCACUCAGUUGGGUUAAAAUAUAAAGUCAUCUGGAAAUCCCAGGUAAU